CGGCAGGCGCCGGGCUCAGGCGAGCGGAGUAGCGCCGCGGGCUGAGGGGCAGGAGCGGGCGCUCCCCUCGGCGAUGGUGCCGGCCGGGAGCGGCGGCGGGGCGGUGCUGGGCGGCAGCAGCCCGGCGAGCGCAGCGGCGGCCGGGACUCGGCGAGGGAGGAGGCGGCGGCAGCAGCGGGAGCCGUGACCCAGCCGCCUGCCUCCCUCCCGCUUCCUUCCCGGCGGAGCGCAGACGCAGGGAAAUGUACUAUAUAAAUUCAGCCCUUACGAAAUAAAGUAAUAAACUUCUUCAGGAGAAUGGAACUGUAUGGUACUGUAUUAGAAAGAGUUGUGCACCUGGGAGAUCUUGAUCAUCUUGGACUAUAAUCUCCAUGGCGUGAAAAUCUGAAGAUAUUCCGGAGUAAAAGAUUGGUUUAUUUAAAGUGACUAUUGUAUCAAAAUGGUUGGAAAACUCAAACAAAACUUGUUAUUGGCAUGUCUGGUGAUCAGCUCAGUGACAGUGUUUUAUUUGGGGCAACAUGCUAUGGAAUGUCACCACAGAAUAGAAGAACGCAGCCAGCCAGUGAGGAUGGAAAGUGGGAGAACCACAAUAAGAACUGUCUUUAACUUAAAAGCAAAUAAAACCUUUGCUUACAAUAAAGACAUGCCUUUAAUAUUUAUUGGAGGGGUGCCUCGAAGUGGCACUACACUAAUGCGUGCCAUGCUAGAUGCUCACCCCGAUAUCCGUUGUGGAGAAGAGACUAGGGUUAUCCCUCGAAUUCUGGCAGUUAAGCAGAUGUGGGCCAGAUCAAGUAAAGAGAAAAUCAGACUGGAUGAAGCUGGGGUGACAGAUGAAGUUCUGGACUCAGCCAUGCAAGCCUUUUUAUUGGAAAUCAUUGUUAAACACGGGGAACCUGCUCCCUAUUUGUGUAAUAAAGAUCCUUUUGCUCUGAAGUCCUUAACUUAUCUUGCCAGAAUUUUCCCCAAUGCCAAAUUUCUUUUAAUGGUACGGGAUGGUCGUGCAUCGGUGCAUUCCAUGAUAUCUAGAAAAGUCACCAUAGCUGGGUUUGACCUUAACAGCUACAGGGACUGUUUGACCAAGUGGAAUCGUGCUAUAGAGACUAUGUAUAACCAGUGUAUGGAGGUUGGUUUUGAAAGAUGCAUGCUGGUACACUAUGAACAACUUGUAUUGCAUCCUGAAAGGUGGAUGAGAAAUCUAUUAAAGUUUCUCCACAUUCCAUGGAACCAAGCAGUGCUACACCAUGAGGAAAUGAUUGGGAAAGCAGGUGGUGUGUCUCUUUCAAAAGUUGAAAGAUCUACAGAUCAAGUAAUCAAACCAGUCAAUGUGGAAGCUUUGUCCAAAUGGGUUGGGAAAAUACCUUCAGAUGUUCUACAAGACAUGCCAGUGAUUGCACCAAUGUUAGCGAAACUUGGCUACGAUCCUUAUGCCAAUCCACCAAAUUAUGGAAAGCCAGAUCAAAAAGUUCUUGAAAACACACGACGGGUCUAUAAAGGUGAAUUUCAGCUUCCUGAUUUUCUUAAAGAAAUGCCACAGCCAAAGAAGACAGUAGAAAGGAAGUCCCGUGGCAAGAUAAAAUGAACAUGGACCAGUAAAACCGAACCAGUGGAGUAGAAUAUCUGAUGGAUUUACCUUGCACAUAAGGACUGUCCUACCAAGAUCAGUGAGGUGUACUGCUCAUGGCCUGCUUUUUUCGAAUCUUCUCCCAUUUGCCUUCAGACUGUGUUUUUUGUUUUGUUUGGGGCUUUUUGUUUGGUGGUUUGUUUUUGUUUUUUUUGUGAGCACACUUAAACCUGUAACAAUAAAAGCACUUCUCUGAUAUGGUGAAUACUUUCACUGAUGAUGAUGAUGUACUGUGUUACAUUUAUACAACUGUUUCUACAGUUUGAAAAUGAAAUUAAAGCAAAAUCUGGCCUAUGUUGAAACUGCUAUUCUGUCUAUAUCUCUGUUUAAUUCCAGAGCUUAAUUUUAAAGGGUUUGUAAAAAUGGUUUGUGAAACAUUUGGAAUUUAAAUGUAUGAAAUUUUGUAAAAGUGGCCUGUGCUUGUCCUAAUUUGUGGUUUUUUUUGGUAGAACAGUUGUGCCUGUUUCAAUUUUAUUGACGUGGAAAUUGUCAAAUAUCUUUCUUUUAAUUAUUUAAAAAAUCACUUCUGAGAUGUUGUUAAAUUACAUGUACAUUUACAAUGCAGUGAUCUUUUGUAUUUUAUUUUUCAAAAUAAAUGCUUUAAAUGUGAUUUUUUUUUUUUUGUUUUGAGUUAUUAAUGCAGCUUUUAACGUGAAGAUCACCUUGCUUCUGCAUGACAUUACUGUACCAUUCGGGUGAAUAGCUGUAAUAAUGAAAGAUACAAACUGAGGCCCUGAAAUGAGACAUUUAUGUAUGUGCUUAACUUUAAUGUGUGACCAGUAGGAGUACUCAUGUUCUUAAAGUUAAGCACAUGGAGAUUUGCAAGAUUGGGGCCUAAUAUAUUGGAAUUUUGUUUCCGCAUAUGUAAAUCCUAUUUUUCUAUGUGUAUUUCCUGCAUGAUCUAGCUUGUUUGUUGAUUUAGCGCAGGGAUGCUAAGCUAAUAAGACACUAGUAGAUAAUUUAUAAAGUAGGUUAAAUAAGUAUUUUCUUUACCAAGAUUCCUCUAAUAAACAGUAUAAAACCUG